CUUCAAUCAGUUUCAAGUAUGGCGGUAAGGACUGAGAGUAAUGUGGUCCCCCCACGCAGUGCGAAGAGAGAUGUGCAGAGACGGCCAUAACCCAGGCUUCUAUCACUGCAUAUAUUGUGUUCAGUAGCGUUAUGGCAGAUCCUGAGCAGAUGGAAAUAAUGACCCAUUUAGCUAUUUUUUUUUUGUGUGUCUCAGCUCUAAUUAUAGCUAAUUACAGUUCUUGAAAGACCG